GAUGAACGCUAGCGGCAGGCCUAACACAUGCAAGUCGAGGGGCAUCGAGAUGGCAGCAAUGUCAUUGUCGGCGACCGGCGAACGGGUGCGUAACGCGUGAACAACUUGCCGGACACAGGGGGAUAAUCGUCGGAAACGUCGUCUAAUAUCCCAUAAGAUAAACAUAGGCAUCUAUGUUUAUUGAAAGAUUUUAUAUCGGUGUCUGAUAGGUUCGCGUGACAUUAGCUAGUCGGUGGGGCAACGGCCCACCGAGGCGACGAUGUCUAGGGGUUCUGAGAGGAAGGCCCCCCACACUGGGACUGAGACACGGCCCAGACUCCUACGGGAGGCAGCAGUGGGGGAUAUUGGACAAUGGGCGGAAGCCUGAUCCAGCCAUGCCGCGUGAAGGAAUAAGGUCCUAUGGGUCGUAAACUUCUUUUGACGCAGAGCAAUAAGGGACACGUGUGUUCCGAUGAGAGUAUGCGUCGAAUAAGCAUCGGCUAACUCCGUGCCAGCAGCCGCGGUAAUACGGAGGAUGCGAGCGUUAUCCGGAUUUAUUGGGUUUAAAGGGUGCGUAGGCUGUUGGAUAAGUCAGCGGUGAAAUCACCACGCUUAACGUGUUGUGUGCCGUUGAAACUGUCCAGCUUGAAUGCGCUCGUCGUGAGAGGAAUGUGUGGUGUAGCGGUGAAAUGCAUAGAUAUCACACAGAACACCGAUUGCGAAGGCAUCUCACGAGAGCGUUAUUGACGCUGAUGCACGAAAGCGCGGGUAUCGAACAGG
rnacentral:rRNA from 1 species